rnacentral:rRNA from 1 species
UACGUAGGCAGCGAGCGUUGUUCGGAAUUACUGGGCGUAAAGGGCGCGUAGGCGGCUUAUCAAGUCAGGCGUGAAAUUCCCGGGCUCAACCUGGGGGCUGCGUUUGAUACUGAUGAGCUUGAAUGCGGGAGAGGAUAGUGGAAUUCCCAGUGUAGAGGUGAAAUUCGUAGAUACCAGGAGGAACACCUGCGGCGAAGGCGGCCAUCUGGAUCGUAACUGACGCUGAUACGCGAAAGCGUGGGGAGCAAACAGG